rnacentral:tRNA from 1 species
GCCUGGGUGGCUCAGUGGUUGAGCGUCUGCCUUUGGCUCAGGGUGUGAUCCUGGGGUCCUGGGAUCAAGUCCCACAUCAGGCU